GUCUGCUUGGGCGUCACA
rnacentral:rRNA from 1 species